rnacentral:lncRNA from 1 species
AAGCCCAAGAGGCUUUCCCUAACUCCAAAACGGCGACCUUUAAAGUAAGGGAGGGUUGGGGCACCACAGCGGCCGGAUUUCUAAUUGUGGAAAGUUUAAACAAAUUUGUCCCUCGGGGAAUGGGGGAAGGGAGAGAAGAACAAGUCUGGGCUCGGCCGGGGAGCGUGCGGAGUCUGCACGCCGCGGCCGUCGGUCCAACGCGGGGAGGCUCAGGGAUUUUCGGCAGCAGCGACUUCAUCCACCCCGGACCGCCGGCUGGAGGACGUGCCUGCAGCCGGCGGGUACCUGCGGCCAAUUCGGUGGAACGAGGACGCGGACUGCGAAGGCAGGUACCCUCCUCUGAAAUCAAAACUCUUUAAUUAAAGAGACAUGAAAUGACAAGAUUUUAAAAAAAUCCCAUGAGGAGAAGGCAUUCUAAUUUAGCUCCAUUUCCUUGGGGUGCAGCUGUCAUUAGUGAGGGACGAAAAGGCAGAAUACAAAGAUCAUGUAAAUACACACAUGUUCUUUAACCUCUAAACCUCAUAUCAGGGCAGUUGGUCUAAGAGAAGAAGACUGACAUCUUCUUCAGGUAAGAAUUAUGACCAUAUGUGAAUUCCCAUAUCCGAAUGGAGACAUUUAAAGAGCAAUGAAAUGUAAACUGGGGAAGAAGUGAUGGCUCAUUCAGGUUGGGGAAGUGGGUUUGUCCCUGGGGGAAGCCCAGUAUAACACUAUGGAACUAAUACUACUUCUCUAUCUUCCAAGGGUAGGAUGGGUAGGAGGAUGAGAUAGAGAAAAAGUUAAGCAGCCAGGAGCAGUGGCUCAUGCCUGUAAUCCCAGCACUUUGGGAGGCCGAGGCAGGCGGAUCACCU